AUUGAACGCUGGCGGCAUGCCUUACACAUGCAAAUCGAACGGUAACGGGCCUUCGGGUGCCGACGAGUGGCGAACGGGUGAGUAAUACAUCGGAACGUGCCCGAUCGUGGGGGAUAACGAGGCGAAAGCUUUGCUAAUACCGCAUACGAUCUACGGAUGAAAGCCGGGGACCGCAAGGCCUUGCGCGGGCGGAGCGGCCGAUGGCAGAUGAGGUAGUUGGUGGGAUAAAAGCUUAGCAAGCCGACGAUCUGUAGCUGGUCUGAGAGGAUGAUCAGCCACACUGGGACUGAGACACGGACCAGACUCCUACGGGAGGCAGCAGUGGGGAAUUUUGGACAAUGGGCGCAAGCCUGAUCCAGCCAUGCCGCGUGCAGGAUGAAGGCCUUCGGGUUGUAAUCUGAUUUUGUACGGAACGAAAAGCCUUCUUUUAAUACAGGAGGGUCAUGACGGUACCGUAAGAAUAAGCACCGGCUAACUACGUG
rnacentral:rRNA from 1 species